rnacentral:rRNA from 1 species
CGCAUCUGUGCAUGCAGCAUAUCAAUAAGCGGAGGAAAAGAAACUAACAAGGAUUCCCUCAGUAACGGCGAGUGAAGCGGGAAGAGCUCAAAUUUGAAAUCUUGAAAGGUCACCUUUCACGAAUUGUAGUUUAAAGAAGUGUUUUCUGUUACGAUCGUAAUAUAAGUUCUUUGGAAUAGGACAUCACAGAGGGUGAGAAUCCCGUCUAUGAUUGCGAUUUGUAGCUUUGUGAUACACUUUCAAAGAGUCGGGUUGUUUGGGAAUGCAGCCCAAAACGGGAGGUAAACUUCUUCUAAGGCUAAAUAUUGGCGAGAGACCGAUAGCGAACAAGUACCGUGAGGGAAAGAUGAAAAGAACUUUGAAAAGAGAGUUAAAUAGUACGUGAAAUUGUCAAAAGGGAAGCGUUUAACACCAGUGUUGUUUUCUGAAAAUCAACCUCUGUUAGCUUUAUGCAUGUUUGUUUAGACCUAAUCAGCUAUCUUGCAUGUUCUAUUGUUUGCAGUGGUGCACUUUUCAGUUUACAGGUCAACAUCAGUUUUUUUUACCGUAAAAAAGUUAAAGAAAGGUAGCUCAUGGCUCCGGUCGUGAGUGUUAUAGUCUUUUUCCUAUGCGGUAGGAGAGACUGAGGUCUGCAGUGUAGGCUAUUUGGCUAGAUACUCAGGUGCUAUGUGAUACCAUUUCAUAAACAACUUGUUGAUUAUGUUUUGUCUAUUGCAUACUCGCUUGUACUAUCAUACCUACGCUUAGGAUGUUGACGAUCAGCUGAGCGCG